rnacentral:rRNA from 1 species
AUACGGAGGAUGCGAGCGUUAUCCGGAUUUAUUGGGUUUAAAGGGAGCGUAGGUGGGAUAUUAAGUCAGCUGUGAAAGUUUGGGGCUCAACCUUAAAAUUGCAGUUGAUACUGCUUUUCUGGAGUUCGGAUGCCGUGGGAGGAAUGGGCAGUGUAGCGGUGAAAUGCAUAGAUAUUGCCCAGAACACCGAUUGCGAAGGCAUCUCACGAAUCCGAGACUGACGCUGAGGCACGAAAGCGUGGGGAUCAAACAGGAUUAGAUACCCUGGUAGUCCACGCAGUAAACGAUGAUAACUAACCGUCGGCGAUAGAAUGUCGGUGGCCAAGCGAAAGCGAUAAGUUAUCCACCUGGGGAGUACGUUCGCAAGAAUGAAACUCAAAGGAAUUGGCGGGG